AUAUAUACAGGAUUGACAGAUUAAUGGCUCUUUCUUGAUUCCGUGGGUGGCGGUGCAUGGCCGUUUUUAGUUCGUGGGCAUGACCUGUCUGGUUAAUUCCAAUAACAAGCGAGACUCUUGCCUGCUAAAUAGGCUGUUCCGAGAUGUUUCACGGAGAGAUAAUCUUAGAGGAACAAGCGGUUUCGAGCCGCACGAAAAAGAGCAAAAACAGGUCAGUGAUGCCCUUAGAUGUCCGGGGCCGCACGCGCAAUACAAUGAAGGCGACAGCGUGUGCUUUUUUUCCCUGGCCGAGAGGUCCGGGCAACCCGAUGAAACGCCUUCGUGCUGGGGAUAGGGGACUGUAACUGUCCCCUUGAACGAGGAAUCCCCAGUAGGCUCGAGUCAUUAACUCGUGCCGACUAAGUCUCUGCUCUUUGUACACACUGCUCGCCGUUAAUACCGAUUGAGUGGUUCAAUGAGGUCUUCGGACCUGCGCCUCCGUUCCUUAACGGACACGAGGUGUCGGAAAGAUGAUCGAACUCGAUCACUUAGAGGCAUUACAAGUCGUAAUAAAGUUUUCGUAGGUGAACCUGCGGAAGGAUCAUU